rnacentral:misc_RNA from 1 species
GCGCCCCGUGCCUGCCAG